rnacentral:rRNA from 1 species
AGACGUAGGAUGCAAGCGUUGUCCGGAUUCAUUGGGCGUAAAGAGUUCGUAGGCGGUUUGUUAAGUCUGAUGUUAAAUAUUAGGGCCCAACCCUGAAACUGCAUUGGAUACUGGCAGACUGGAGUGCAGUAGAGGCAAGUGGAAUUCCCAGUGUAGCGGUGAAAUGCGUAGAUAUUGGGAAGAACACCGGUGGCGCAGGCGACUUGCUGGGCUGUAACUGACGCUGAGGAACGAAAGCUAGGGGAGCAAAUGGGAUUAGAUACCCCAGUAGUCCUAGCUGUAAACGAUGGAUACUAGGCGUUGCAGGUAUCGACCCCUGCAGUGCCGCAGUUAACGCGAUAAGUAUCCCGCCUGAGUAGUACGGCCGCAAGGUUGAA